rnacentral:lncRNA from 1 species
GAAUAAGGAAGUCAUACUUACCUUUAUUUAAACUAGGAAAGAUAGUACAUUCAAUAUCUUGGUUCAUUUUAUAUCACAACAUUUAAAACGUGGUUAAACUUCCAAGGUUCCAUAUGAGUUAUAGUGUGGAAGAAAGCAAGAGUACAAGGUUACAACAUGUCCCAUUGACGUAUCCAGUACCCAUACAUAACCCACGCAAACAUCUACGAAGUCUCUAAGGAUACAAAAGACAGUGAUAAUAAUGCCGGCAACAAGGCCCCGGCUAUACCUCAACAAUGAAAAUCCAAAAUAAAAGAUGUGCAAUAUAGCCCCUUGGAGGAGAAGGGGGCUCACCAAGAUCUUGAGAAGAAGGAUGCUCCGCUACACACGAUUGGCACUAUCCGCUAUAGAGCCACCUACAUUCAUUAAUAAAAAUAUAGCGCCCCCGGCAAAAAGGACGUUAGUACCAUGAAAUAGUACUAGUAUGUAUAACUAAAGACCAUUUUACUAGAAAGAACUAUCAAACAAGUACAAGUAAAUCACAUGAGUAAAUCAAAUAUGCAAAUCACAUAAUCUUUCAUAUAAUUUCCAAAACUUAGUUUGGGCAUUUCUUCCAUAUGUUCAUCACUAUUCUCAAUGCCACCGCUAUCUUGAGCGGAGUCCGAUCCUGACCCGACCGGCUAGGUCACCUCAUUGGAGGCAUAUAUCUCAAUCAAUAUUUCAUUUCCCUUAUCCGGAAUUCAAUAUCAGCACAUUACCACCAUGUGUGCGGCAUGGUGUCCGAUCACGACCCGAUAUGUUAGGUCGCCUUAUCUAGGCAUUGUCCCUUUCUCAUUAGUCAUCACAUCAGAAUCUUUAUUUCACACAUAUCAUAUCAAUCUAUGGGCACCCAGGGCCACCAUUAUCACAUUAUUUUCCAUUUUCAAUAUUCGUCUUACAAGUUGUAAUCAUAGACAUAUACAAAAAUAAUUCAAGUUGCAAUCACAGGUAAGUGAGCACAUAGCUAGCAUGAAUAAUUCUCCGUUUCGAUCUUGUCUUAUAGCCUAAGCAUUUCAACGCAUAAUUGUAUUCUUCAUACUUCUCAAAUUAUCAAGAAUAGUACAUUACUCACAUUGAGGCACAACCUUCACGUAUAUGAGUAGAUAAUUGCAAAUCAAUUAAUGCGUAAUAACAAUCAAUACACUAACCAAUUCAACUCUUACCACACUUUCGUAAAUGCCAACGUAGCUCAAUUACUAAUAUAAGGGGGUUUUAGCCAUACAUACCUCAAUAAAGCUUUCCUUACUCUUUACAAAAUUUUCGGAACUCUUAGCACUUCGAUCAAUUGUGUAAGAAUUACAAAUUAAAUCGAGAAUUAGAGGCAAGAUUGAGAUUCUAGCUUGUUUCAAUCAUAUUAUCAAGCACUAGAGGUGCAAUAUGAUCUUAGGCCCCUUUUGAGAGAAAUUUAUAUCGUCACACCUCCUUUUUUACCUACACCUCGGGAAGAGGGAUGUAUAUAAGGGAGUUUUUACAAUUAAAGGACAAUCAAAAUGAGAUUUAUUUAUUUAAAAAUUCAGAGUCUCCACUUGGGAGAUUUAUAGUGUCCCAAGUCACCGGUUCAAAUCCCGAAUUGAGGAAAAGAUUGACUCUGUUUUACAGUCUGCGAACCAGAAUUCCGGGUAAGGAAUUCUAUUAACCCGGGAGAAGGUGUUAGGCAUUCCCGAGAUCCGUGGUUCUAGCAUGGUCUCUCAACUAUUACAAUUGACCUAUUAUCUGAUUUUUUACAUGUUUUAAACCUAUUGUGCAUUUUUAACUUUUUAGCCGCUUUUACUAUUUCAGGAAAAUUCAAGGUUAUUUAAAACACGUCGUAAGUCACGCUACAUGAAAUGCACCCGCAGUUCAUGACACGUUCUAUUUAACCUUGUUGGAAAUUAGAAUUGGGUCAUAUAAAAUGCACACCCGAAUUUACCAUGUUUAUUUUAUUACUAUUCCAAGUUGUGGUCGCGCCACAUGAAAUGCACACCCGGAUGUGAUUUACGUAUCGUGACCAUGUCACGGGAACCGUACCCAUAGCCACGAUGAUUUAUUAAUCUCAUAUUAAUAAUCAUAAAGUAGACAAUGACUAAUUUUCUUAAUUGUAUACAACAAUUCAGUACUAUACCCACGAUUCCUCAUUUCUGGCAUAAGAGACAAAAGGUAAUCUUUUUAUUCCCUAAUUCUAUAUACUAGUUAGAGCUUGGUUGAAAUUUAGAAUUAACAAUGAACAAGAGAUUCCUACAGCAAGCAAAAACAUUGACGCGAAGAGUAUGCAAAGCAUUCUGCACUAUACACAAAUGGUUCAAUAUUGCAAGAAGCAAACACUUUAGCAACGAAAUCAACGCAGUUGCAAAGGAAUACAUUUGAGACUAAUCAAUGCUAUAGCAGAUAUCAUAAAAUCGUGAAACACAAGCUCAUCCUAGAAUACCAGUGCAACAGUUACAACCACCUAAAAUCAAAUCAAACUGAUAAUUAAAGUGUGAAAAAAACAAAUAGAUCAAUGAAUGUAGAAAUUCUUACGAGUGCGCAUAUGCCGAAACGGAUCCGGAACACUGGAAUAGGACUCCUCGCUGGAAAAACAGGAACUUCGACGGAAAGCCAAUCGAAUUCUGUCGGAAUUUGAACGACACAAUAAUGAAACGAACUAGGUGACUAGAACCUCGGUCGAACCUAAAUCACAACUACUACCCCUUUCUCAUUUCUAUGCGUGUGCGUGUAUGGCUGCUUGUUCGUUUUCCGGCGAACUCGUCGGGCAUCGUCGAGGUGGUCGCUGGUUAAGGGUGUGGUGGCGACGGAAUUUCUAGGGUUCAGCUCCUAGGUUCAGUGGGUGGUCGUUGAAGAAGGGACGAAGAAAGGGUCGAUGGGGUCAUAGAAAGUCAGUGAUGGCUUCGAGACGAGAUGAAGAAACAAGCCACUGGAAAUAUAUUUGGUCUCUUUGUUCGCUCCUUAGGUCCUUUUAAUGAAGAAUAUGACUAAAGCCAUUUUUGUUUUCUCUCCAGUCAAAAAACGGCGGAUCGUAUCCC